GACGAACGCUGGCGGCGUGCUUAACACAUGCAAGUCGAGCGGUAAGGCCUUUCGGGGUACACGAGCGGCGAACGGGUGAGUAACACGUGGGUGAUCUGCCCUGCACUUCGGGAUAAGCCUGGGAAACUGGGUCUAAUACCGGAUAUGACCUCCUAUCGCAUGGUGGGUGGGGGCAAGAUUUAUCGGUGCAGGAUGGGCCCGCGGCCUAUCAGCUUGUUGGUGGGGUAAUGGCCUACCAAGGCGACGACGGGUAGCCGACCUGAGAGGGUGACCGGCCACACUGGGACUGAGACACGGCCCAGACUCCUACGGGAGGCAGCAGUGGGGAAUAUUGCACAAUGGGCGAAAGCCUGAUGCAGCGACGCCGCGUGAGGGAUGACGGCCUUCGGGUUGUAAACCUCUUUCAGCAGGGACGAAGCGCAAGUGACGGUACCUGCAGAAGAAGCACCGGCUAACUACGUG
rnacentral:rRNA from 1 species